rnacentral:tmRNA from 1 species
UUUGCCCGGCAUUGUACCGCCGUUAUCGGGCUAAUUUUUAAAUGCGAACGAUAACAACGUAGCAUUCGCUGUCGCUGCCUAAUUAGCAGCUAAGCGCGGUUCGGGGGGCACCGGGCAACAGAAGCCCCCCACU